UUGAUGUAAUUGAACCACUAUAUCCAGUCGAGAACAAUCAACUCAAGAAGGGCCCGCAUAUCUACAAUGGUGGAGGACCGCUCAACUUAAUAUUUAUGAGAAGAUUUAAUUUAGAUCUUCCUUAGAUUUUAAUUAUUUAUUUAUAAUGCAUAUAAAUCUAUACUUAUAUUGGAUCUACUUAAGAGAUCCUACCUUGGUUCACUA
rnacentral:lncRNA from 1 species